UUAAAACACCUAAAACAAAACCCAAAGUAAGAGGAAACCAAAAACAAAACAAAAAAAAAAGCCUUCCCCCAAACAACCAUAGAGAAACCAGAGAAAUACUAGCCAAAACCUCUUCACACAAAGCUCAAAAUCCAUCAACCAUAGUAGAAGAGGCGAAAGCCUGAAAGAAACAAGCCCAUGGAGAUUUAGAUUGAAAACUUCUCUAUCCUCAAGCUUUUGAAAAAUGUCUUAAUAUUGUUGAAUCUAAUUGUUCCAGUCCACAAGUGUCAUCUUCUCAACUGGAUCUGGGCUUCUUCAACCCAAAAGUAUGGUGCUCGAUACCAGCGUCCCUUAUUAGCCAACACAUGGGCAGCCUUAUUUGCUUAUCUUGGAAUGAAAUGGUAAGAUAUCUCCUCGAACCUUCUUCCUAAGUCACAGAUGCUUAGAAUCACCGGUCGGAGGACCGAGUUGUCAAUGAGUCUCCUUCAACAGAAAUCUUGAGAAAGCCCAUUUUGGCUGCAAAGAGUAAGGCUCUCUCACAAGCCCUAGCUUCUGCCACAAAAGCAUCAUGGAUUCCAUCAUAAGGGUAAGUACACGACCCCAUAAUCUGACCUUUGUUAUUUUGAGCCAGAACUACUGCAACUGAAGUGUAUGUAUUUGCAUUAAAAGAAGCAUCAAAGUUUAGUUUAAUAACAUCAUUAUUUGGAGGUCGCCAUAGUUCCUUCAUCAUAGGUAUUAUAAAAUGAAUAGGAUUCUGGAUCUGAUUUAGUUCCUGGAUGCACCCCUAUAUAAAUCCCAUAAUAUCUUGGACGAAACCUUUUUGUCCUUCAUGAACCAGCUUAUUUCUUCUGAACCAAAUAGCCUAGUAAGAUAUAGCAUUUACUAUCUUCCAUUCAUUACAAUAAAUGUUUCUGCUAACCAAUCUUUAUAAUUCGAGGAAUUCACCAUUUGAGUACUCGAAAUCUGUAGGUGUUUCCACAAUUGUUAAAGUACCUGACAAUUUCAACUCAGAUGAUUGGCAUCCUCUAGUGGGUCUUUGCACAGUGGAUACAAAACAUUUCUGAUCAAUCUACACUUGGCUAGGUUGCUGAAAUAAGGCAGGAAAUCAUUAAACAGUCUCAACAGAUGUAUCUUUAUUGUUUUUGGUAGUUGUAAUUUCUAUAGGGAGUUGUAAAAUUCUUUGUAAAUGUGGGGUGUAGCAGUAGAUAUCUUAUUAGCAGAAUGUAGAUGUUCUGAAACUAGGACUUUGUACCGACUUUUUACUGUGUAUUCCCCAAUUACCUCAUGCCUCCAGACCAGUAUGUCAUUUAAUCUUAUACGAGAGAGAGGGAUCUUGAAGAUACGUUCAACCUGAUUCCUGCUGAAGAUGUCUAAAAUCUUAGCCUUUUUCCAAGUAACUAUUUCUUUAUCAAUCAACUGACUUACAGUUAUCCAAU
rnacentral:lncRNA from 1 species